GGCACCUGGGCCUUGCAGGGCCUACAGACGAUUGCAGAGUAAGGAGCGAUCCUUACUAUAGGCCCUGCGAGGCCCGGCCCAAAGCCUGCACCCAUAGGCCCAGAAAACUCACAGCAAUCCAUUGAUUCCGGCUAUCAAAGCCUUUGACAACACAAGAAACAGUUUCCAAGCUGAGGAAAGAAAUAGCCCUACUAUAUUCUGUGCUGGUCGGGCCUAAUCUGGAAUACUGUGGUCAGUUCUGGAUGACAGACAAUUGGAGGCACAUUCAUAAGAGAUCCCAGAUCAAGAGAAAAACAAUGUUGUUUUCCCUGCUGCCUCCCAGCGAACACAUCACCCUCCGACUAAUGGCCUGCCUUCGGAGCAAGACGUACGUCAUCACAAAAGGACGGACAAAACAAGCCCCCGACAAUCUUUGUUUUGAGUCUUCAAUGGACUCCCCCCUUUUGCAUCCCAGCCAAAGCCACUCUUAAACUUUAAUCCUGACAACUACCUCCUUCUCUCGCCUUCUUCUUCUUUUGUCUGCCAUUAAUUAAAGUGGACAUAUGGAAGAAGCUGAUAAUAAGGACAGAUGAGCCAAUGAGAGAAUGAGAGAGAGAGAGAGAAAUAGAGAGAGGCUGUUUGUAAUUACUGGAGGGGAGAACUUCAACCAAAGUGGAUCUCCAGGAAACCGUAAGCAAAAGAGUAUGUGUGUUUGUGCACACAAAGCAGUAAGGCACAACUGGGAGAGCCGUGUUGUCAGUCGGCUGAGUCAUAAAGAUGCCCUUUAGUUCUUUCCUUUUCAAACGUAGGAAAUGGCUGUCAUGAACAACUCAAAAGGAGGCCUCAGCUGGCCCAGCUCUGAGAUAAAAUAAUAAUAAUAAUUGGGAACUGGGAUAAAUGGAAGAGUCAACAAUUCCUCUCUGGUUCAACAAAGGAGGCUCCCCCAGGCAAAUGAAUGGACGGCUCACAAAAUACUCAAAGGCUUGCUGUACACAUUUCAUAAAAUACUUUGCUCUUCUGUUCAAUACUUGAAAGUAACACAUCGGCAGCCAGAGAAACCUCAGUCAAAUUCUCUCUCACAGACACUGCAAUAGCAAGAGACUGAAAUGGACUCAACAACCCUAAAAUCCUUUUCUUAAACAUUUUUAUUUCCAUACUGAUAAUUUUUGAGAGAGAAGAUGAUGGUGACAAAACAACCAACCCAUCCAAGCAGUCACAACAGUAUACAUGAGAGUGUAUUUAGAAGUACACAAAAGAUCAGAUGCAACCAAAAUUAUAAAUCUUGCAACACGUUUAGAAGGAACAGGAUCAAAAACAAUCCCUUCUGGAUAGUACCUGGCCAUUUUAGAUGUUAGGGAAUUUAAAUAAGACAAAAAGUAGAAUGAGCUUAAAUCAGCGUGUCCAGGCUCCCUUCCUACAAAUCCAUGCUGUCAAGUAACUUACUUCAAAGAUGUCUGCCACUUUUUAAAAUGCCCUUUUACUUUUAAGCUUUGCCUCCUU
rnacentral:lncRNA from 11 species